ensembl:snRNA U1 U1 spliceosomal RNA
AUGCUUACCUGGCAGGGGAGAUCACGAAGGUGGUUUUCCCAGGGCGAGGCUUAUCCAUUGCACUCCGGAUGUGCUGACCCCUGCGAUUUCCCCAAAUGUGGGAAACUCGACUGCAUAUUUGUGGUAGUGGGGGACUGCAUUCGCGCUUUCCUCUG